GGGGGUCUAGCUUAGUGGUAGUGCAUGUGCUUGGCUUGCACAAGUUCCUGGGUUCCAUCCCCAGUACCUCCA
rnacentral:tRNA from 1 species